GACGAACGCUGGCGGCGUGCUUAACACAUGCAAGUCGAACGGAAAGGCCCUGCUUUUGUGGGGUGCUCGAGUGGCGAACGGGUGAGUAACACGUGAGUAACCUGCCCUUGACUUUGGGAUAACUUCAGGAAACUGGGGCUAAUACCGGAUAGGAGCUCCUGCUGCAUGGUGGGGGUUGGAAAGUUUCGGCGGUUGGGGAUGGACUCGCGGCUUAUCAGCUUGUUGGUGGGGUAGUGGCUUACCAAGGCUUUGACGGGUAGCCGGCCUGAGAGGGUGACCGGCCACAUUGGGCCUGAGAUACGGCCCAGACUCCUACGGGAGGCAGCGGUGGGAAUAUUGCACAAUGGGCGGAAGCCUGAUGCAGCAACGCCGCGUGCGGGAUGACGGCCUUCGGGUUGUAAACCGCUUUCGCCUGUGACGAAGCGUGAGUGACGGUAAUGGGUAAAGAAGCACCGGCUAACUACGUG
rnacentral:rRNA from 1 species